UAGGGAAUAUUGGGCAAUGGAGGGAACUCUGACCCAGCCAUGCCGCGUGCAGGAUGAAGGCGUUAUGCGUUGUAAACUGCUUUUAUAUAGGAAGAAAUAGUCCUUGCGAGGAAAGUUGACGGUACUAUAUGAAUAAGCACCGGCUAACUCCGUGCCAGCAGCCGCGGUAAUACGGAGGGUGCAAGCGUUGUCCGGAUUUAUUGGGUUUAAAGGGUGCGUAGGCGGUUUAUUAAGUCAGUGGUGAAAGACGGUCGCUCAACGAUUGCAGUGCCAUUGAUGCUGGUAGACUUGAGUAUGAUUGAGGUAGCUGGAAUGGAUAGUGUAGCGGUGAAAAUGCAUAGAUAUUAUCCAGAACACCAAUUGCGUAGGCAAAGUUACUAAGUCAUAACUGACGCUGAGGCACGAAAGUGUGGGUAUCAAAACAGGAUUAGAUACCCGCGUAGUCCCUGAGCGGGCUGGCAAGGCGCAU
rnacentral:rRNA from 1 species